rnacentral:tmRNA from 1 species
GGGGGCGAGCCAGGAUCGACGUGCGUGGUAAAGGUUUGGUCUUCGCCCGGCAUGAUACCGCCGUUAUCGGGUCACUCAAACAGGUGCGAACGACAACCGUGUCGCCCUCGCUGCCUAACUAGGCAAGCGCGGUCCGGGGGGCACCGGGCAACAGAAGCCCCCCACU